ensembl:lncRNA
GCAUCAUGGGUCAAGGAAGCGUCUCUGUCUGUCUCUCUCUCUGCUGUAUGUAGAGGCUCCGCACUCAUCUGCAGUAUUCAUCAUUUCAAACAAACACGUUAGAUCUUAGUUUAUGGACUGCAAUUGAAUCUUUAAUGCCGUGUUAAUUAGAUUUUGUUCGAAUUGAAUCGAAACAAAACUCUGCAGAACAUGUGAAUCAUAUGAAUCUUUACAUGGAAGAAUCACAUGAAUCUUUACUUUUGAGUCAUUGAGAUAUUUUCCUCUAUUGUUACAUUGUUGUCAUGAUUUUUAAUCUCAUUCCCUUCAAAUUCUCAGAUUCUUUUGAUUUUGUGUCGAACACACAGAUGCUGAUUUGCUUGUAUUGAAUCAUUCCACAUACUGCAGAUGUGUGUGUGUGUUCAGUGUCUAUGUGUGUUUAUCAGUAAACAGGAAUCAUGUUCCUGCAGCGCAGUCCUUAACCAAUGGUGCCACGUCACAUCUGAACGGAGGAAGUGCUAAUAUGUGUCCCAUUUCAGAUGUUUUCAUACUGUAAACACUUCAUGUUCGUUUGCGGUCAUUUAUCAGAUGAACUCAACGACAGUCGUAAGGUCACAGCGAUAGUGUUGCAGAUUACAGUGUUUGUUUGUUUGUUUCAAACGGCACCAAAUCCUUCAGAAAUCAUUCUAAUAUGCUGAUUUGCUGCUCAAGAAACAUUUCUGAUUAUUAUCAAUGUUGAAAACAGUUGUGCUGCUUAAUAUUUCUGUGGAAACAGUGAUACAUUUUAUUUUCAGGAUUAUUUGAUGAAUAUAAAGUUUAAAAGAACACUGAUUUGAGAUAGAACUCUUUUGCAACAUUAUAAAUGUCUUUCCUGCCAGUUUUUAUUAAUUUAAUGCAUCCUUGCUGAAUUAAAGUAUUAAAAUACUUUCUAAAAAAAAAACACCAAACUUUUGAACAAUAGUGUAAAUACUGCAUACUACUAAAAUAGUAGUAUGGCUAUAUGAUAUUCAGAACACAACCAGAAACCAGAAAUGUAUGUUUAAAGGAUUACUUCACCUAAAAUUAACAUUUUAUCAUCAUUUACUCGCCCUCAUGUGAUUCCAAACCUGACUUUCUUUCUUCUGCGGAACACAAAAGAACAUACUUCGUAAUUACGUUCAAUCACCGGACCCCAUUGACUUUCACUGUAUGGACACGCUUCAAAACAUCGUAAAUUUUGGGUGAACUAUCCCUUUAAGGCCUUCAUGACUAAUCAAAUACUUUAUAAAAAGGUGGUCAGGCUACAUGCAUGAGAUCAUGUGGUUUACUUGUCAAAUGUAGCUCUGUGAUAACAUCACCUUGUAAACGAAAAAUCUACAACU